UACGUAGGGCGCAAGCGUUUAUCCGGAAUUAUUGGGCGUAAAGAGCUCGUAGGCGGUUUGUCGCGUCUGCCGUGAAAGUCCGGGGCUCAACUCCGGAUCUGCGGUGGGUACGGGCAGACUAGAGUGAUGUAGGGGAGACUGGAAUUCCUGGUGUAGCGGUGAAAUGCGCAGAUAUCAGGAGGAACACCGGAUGGCGAAGGCAGGUCUCUGGGCAUUAACUGACGCUGAGGAGCGAAGCAUGGGGAGCGAACAGG
rnacentral:rRNA from 1 species